UGCGGAAAUUAAAAUUUGCAGGAAGUAAAUAAGUGCGAUAAAUAAUAACUUACACACAGAUAUAUCCUGGUUUACCACAACGUGUGGCUACUCCAGUCCCCGAGAGACUCUCUCGAGAUUUUCCACUAACUUGUCAAGUUUCCGGGUGCUUAGCAAACCUUUACAACUUGAGGACGCAAGCCUCAAUACCUUUGCUCGGAGUUACAACACUCCAAGACUUCAACCAAGGAAACACAAGUUCCUUACAACAAGAGAAUCACAAUUCUCUUCCAAG
rnacentral:lncRNA from 1 species